AUGUAAUUGUCCCAAUUGGGUGACAACCAUACAACCGAUAUACACAUAACAUGAAACAAUGAGAUCGAUUUAAAAAAAGGAUUGAUCAGUCUGCAAAAUUGCAGCAAUAAAUAUGCAUUUCAUGUACAGAUUCAGAAAAUGUAUGGCCUGUGGGAUAAACGUGUUCCUGUAUCUGUUGCUCUUGACUCUGGGAAGUCUAAACCGAUGACCCGAGGGGAAGAGUGCAAAAUGGUCUCGGAGAGGGUGACCAGGACAGUCUAGGAUACUGUUAGCUCUCCUCACCACUUGCUUUCUGAAUGAGAGCUGUGCCUGUUGCAACCCGAUGACCUGGCCGGCCACCUUAACCACACCGUCCAACCUAUUUCUGUCGCAAACAUUAAGAUUGCCAGGCCACCAUCGAGAACAUCAAUACGGAUUCAAUGAAACUCCUGUAACAGAGUGCCAUCAUUGUCUUACUGACAUAAGACGCGUUCAUCUUUAAAAAAUAAAGCCGCUGCUGUCCCUUACAGGUGGCAUCUGUGUUUUCCUCAAACGUCAAUACGUUGUCCAACACUGUUCCCAGGCACUUGUAGGUACUGACCAGCUCAAUGCCAUUUCCCAUAACCACAGUGGGUGUGGGGUUCAGUGGCUGCCUUCUAAAGUCAUUGGCCAUGUCUUUAGUUUUGAAGACAUUCAUUUGGAGGAGGCAGUUCUCACACCAUGACACACGUCAUCUACCACAGGCCAUGCUCCCCCAUGACACAGUCAUCUACCACAGGCCAUGCUCCCCCAUGACACAGUCAUCUACCACAGGCCAUGCUCCCCCAUGACACAGUCAUCUACCACAGGCCAUGCUCCCCCAUGACACAGUCAUCUACCACAGGCCAUGCUCCCCCAUGACACAGUCAUCUACCACAGGCCAUGCUCCGCCAUGACACAGUCAUCUGCCACAGGCCAUGCUCCCCCAUGACACAGUCCUCUACCACAGGCCAUGCUCCCCCAUGACACCGUCAUCUACCACAGGCCAUUAUCCCCCAUGACACAGUCAUCUACCACAGGCUUCUACCAGAAGGCACGACAACACCUCUUCCCUCAAGUCUGGAACCAACAGGACCCUGAACAGCUUCUACCGCCAGGGAAUAACACUGCUACAUAGUCCGGGUAGCUAUUUAGUUAAAUAGUUAACCAUUUGCCUUGCCCCACUUUUGACUCAUCACAUACGCUGAUGGUUCUGCUUAUUAUCUAUCCUGUUGCCUAGUCACUUUUUCCCUACCCACACUACCGUUCAAAGGAAUGGGAUCACUUUGAGAUGUCCUUGUUUUUGAAAGAAAAACACUUUUUUUGUCCAUUUAAAAUAACAUCAAAUUGAUCAGAAAUACAGUGUAGACAUCGUUAAUGUUGUAAAUGACUAUUGUAGAUGGAAACGGCAGAUAUAAAAAAUAAAAAAACAUAAUUUAAUGGAAUAUCUACAUGGGCGUACAGAGGCCCUUUAUCAGCAACCAUCACGCCUGUGUUCCAAUGACACGUUGUGUUAGCUAAUCCAAGUUUAGCAUUUUAAAAGGCUAAUUUAUCAUUAGAAAACCCUUUUGCAAUUAUGUUAGCACAGCUGAAAACGUCUGAUUAAAGAAGCAAUAAAACUUGCCUUCUUUAGACUAGUUGAGUAUCUGGAGCAUCAGCAUUUGGGUUCGAUUACAGGCUCAAAAUGGCCAGAAGCAAAGAACUUUCUUCUGAAA
ensembl:lncRNA